CAGGUGGUCAGGUAGAGAAUACCAAGGCGCUUGAGAGAACUCGGGUGAAGGAACUAGGCAAAAUGGUGCCGUAACUUCGGGAGAAGGCACGCUGAUAUGUAGGUGAAGCGACUUGCUCGUGGAGCUGAAAUCAGUCGAAGAUACCAGCUGGCUGCAACUGUUUAUUAAAAACACAGCACUGUGCAAACACGAAAGUGGACGUAUACGGUGUGACGCCUGCCCGGUGCCGGAAGGUUAAUUGAUGGGGUUAGCGGUAACGCGAAGCUCUUGAUCGAAGCCCCGGUAAACGGCGGCCGUAACUAUAACGGUCCUAAGGUAGCGAAAUUCCUUGUCGGGUAAGUUCCGACCUGCACGAAUGGCGUAAUGAUGGCCAGGCUGUCUCCACCCGAGACUCAGUGAAAUUGAACUCGCUGUGAAGAUGCAGUGUACCCGCGGCAAGACGGAAAGACCCCGUGAACCUUUACUAUAGCUUGACACUGAACAUUGAGCCUUGAUGUGUAGGAUAGGUGGGAGGCUUUGAAGUGUGGACGCCAGUCUGCAUGGAGCCGACCUUGAAAUACCACCCUUUAAUGUUUGAUGUUCUAACGUGGGCCCCUUACCGGGGUUGCGGACAGUGUCUGGUGGGUAGUUUGACUGGGGCGGUCUCCUCCUAAAGAGUAACGGAGGAGCACGAAGGUUGGCUAAUCCUGGUCGGACAUCAGGAGGUUAGUGCAAUGGCAUAAGCCAGCUUGACUGCGAGCGUGACGGCGCGAGCAGGUGCGAAAGCAGGUCAUAGUGAUCCGGUGGUUCUGAAUGGAAGGGCCAUCGCUCAACGGAUAAAAGGUACUCCGGGGAUAACAGGCUGAUACCGCCCAAGAGUUCAUAUCGACGGCGGUGUUUGGCACCUCGAUGUCGGCUCAUCACAUCCUGGGGCUGAAGUAGGUCCCAAGGGUAUGGCUGUUCGCCAUUUAAAGUGGUACGCGAGCUGGGUUUAGAACGUCGUGAGACAGUUCGGUCCCUAUCUGCCGUGGGCGCUGGAGAACUGAGGGGGGCUGCUCCUAGUACGAGAGGACCGGAGUGGACGCAUCACUGGUGUUCGGGUUGUCAUGCCAAUGGCACUGCCCGGUAGCUAAAUGCGGAAGAGAUAAGUGCUGAAAGCAUCUAAGCACGAAACUUGCCCCGAGAUGAGUUCUCCCUGAGACUUAGAGUCUCCUGAAGGAACGUUGAAGACGACGACGUUGAUAGGCCGGGUGUGUAAGCGCAGCGAUACGUUGAGCUAACCGGUACUAAUGAACCGUGAGGCUUAACCUUACAACGCCGAAG
rnacentral:rRNA from 1 species